rnacentral:rRNA from 1 species
CCUACGGGCGGCAGCAGUGAGGAAUAUUGGUCAAUGGGCGCGAGCCUGAACCAGCCAAGUAGCGUGAAGGAUGACUGCCCUACGGGUUGUAAACUUCUUUUAUAAAGGAAUAAAGUGAGGCACGUGUGCCUUUUUGUAUGUACUGUAUGAAUAAGGAUCGGCUAACUCCGUGCCAGCAGCCGCGGUAAUACGGAGGAUCCGAGCGUUAUCCGGAUUUAUUGGGUUUAAAGGGAGCGUAGAUGGGUUGUUAAGUCAGUUGUGAAAGUUUGCGGCUCAACCGUAAAAUUGCAAUUGAUACUGGCAGCCUUGAGUACAGUGGAGGUAGGCGGAAUUCGUGGUGUAGCGGUGAAAUGCUUAGAUAUCACGAAGAACUCCGAUUGCGAAGGCAGCUUACUAAACUGCCACUGACAUUGAUGCUCGAAAGUGUGGGUAUCGAACAGGAUUAGAUACCCCGGUAGUC